rnacentral:sRNA from 1 species
GCCAGGCGAUGGUGGUGCACGCCUUUAAUCCCAGCACUUGGGAGGCAGAGGCAGGCGGAUCUCUGUGAGUUCGAGACCAACCUGGUCUACAGAGCUAGUUCCAGGACAGACUCCAAAGCCACAGAGAAAACCCUGUCUCGAAAAACAAACAAACAAACAAACAAACAAAAAUUGGUCUUUUUUUUUUUUUGAGACAGGGUUUCUCUGUGUAGCCCUAGAUGUCUUGGAAUUAGCUCUCUAGAUCAGGCAGGUCUCGAACUCACAGAGAUCCGCCUGCCUCU